rnacentral:rRNA from 1 species
GCAGUCGAACGGUAACAUUUAUGAGCUUGCUCAUACGAUGACGAGUGGCGGACGGGUGAGUAAUGCUUGGGAACUUGCCUUUGCGAGGGGGAUAACAGUUGGAAACGACUGCUAAUACCGCAUAAUGUCUUCGGACCAAACGGGGCUUCGGCUCCGGCGCAAAGAGAGGCCCAAGUGAGAUUAGCUAGUUGGUAAGGUAACGGCUUACCAAGGCGACGAUCUCUAGCUGUUCUGAGAGGAAGAUCAGCCACACUGGGACUGAGACACGGCCCAGACUCCUACGGGAGGCAGCAGUGGGGAAUAUUGCACAAUGGGGGAAACCCUGAUGCAGCCAUGCCGCGUGUGUGAAGAAGGCCUUCGGGUUGUAAAGCACUUUCAGUUGUGAGGAAAAGUUAGUAGUUAAUACCUGCUAGCCGUGACGUUAACAACAGAAGAAGCACCGGCUAACUCCGUGCCAGCAGCCGCGGUAAUACGGAGGGUGCGAGCGUUAAUCGGAAUUACUGGGCGUAAAGCGCACGCAGGCGGUUUGUUAAGCUAGAUGUGAAAGCCCCGGGCUCAACCUGGGAUGGUCAUUUAGAACUGGCAGACUAGAGUCUUGGAGAGGGGAGUGGAAUUCCAGGUGUAGCGGUGAAAUGCGUAGAUAUCUGGAGGAACAUCAGUGGCGAAGGCGACUCCCUGGCCAAAGACUGACGCUCAUGUGCGAAAGUGUGGGUAGCGAACAGGAUUAGAUACCCUGGUAGUCCACACCGUAAACGCUGUCUACUAGCUGUGUGUGCCUUUAAGGCGUGCGUAGCGAAGCUAACGCGCUAAGUAGACCGCCUGGGGAGUACGGCCGCAAGGUUAAAACUCAAAUGAAUUGACGGGGGCCCGCACAAGCGGUGGAGCAUGUGGUUUAAUUCGAUGCAACGCGAAAAACCUUA